CCCUUGUCUCUUCAGUAGCAACUAUUAAUAAUAGGUUGGAUAAUCUAGAGUCAAAUAAUAUUCCAACCGUAUCAGAGCUUUCAGUGCCUGUUGCUCAGCCCGCACCUAACCUAGGAGGUAAAGAUAACCCUCUACCAGCUAGUAGAGCUACCAAUAUUAUAAAUCCGAUUCACCUCAUUCCUCAGUCUCUGAGACGUGACAUUAUAGAGGGGAAGGACAUAAACGUGGCUUCACUACUGAUAGCAUCUCAAGACGUUGUCG